rnacentral:rRNA from 1 species
AUUGAACGCUGGCGGCAGGCCUAACACAUGCAAGUCGAACGAGUGGCGGACGGGUGAGUAAUGUCUGGGAAACUUCCUGAUGGCGGGGGAUAACUACUGGAAACAGUAGCUAAUACCGAAUACCAUCAGCUGUGCCAAGAUGGGAAUGGCUUGUUGGUGGGGUAACGGCUCACCAGGGCGACGAUCCCUAGCUGGUCUGAGAGGAUGACCGGACACACUGGACCUGAGAACCGGUCAAGACUCCUACGGGAGGCAGCAGUGGGGAACUAUGCACCAUGGGCGAAAGCCUACGGCAGACAUGCCGCUGAUAUUAAGAAGGCCUUCGGGUUGUAAAGUGCUUUCAGCGGGGAGGCGUUACCCGCAGAAGAAGCACCGGCUAACUCCGUGCCAGCAGCCGCGGUAAUUC